AUUGAACGCUGGCGGCAUGCUUUACACAUGCAAGUCGAACGGUAACAGGCCGCAAGGUGCUGACGAGUGGCGAACGGGUGAGUAAUGCAUCGGAACGUGCCCAGUCGUGGGGGAUAACUACUCGAAAGAGUAGCUAAUACCGCAUACGAUCUAUGGAUGAAAGCGGGGGACCGUAAGGCCUCGCGCGAUUGGAGCGGCCGAUGUCAGAUUAGGUAGUUGGUGGGGUAAAGGCUCACCAAGCCAACGAUCUGUAGCUGGUCUGAGAGGACUACCAGCCACACUGGGACUGAGACACGGCCCAGACUCCUACGGGAGGCAGCAGUGGGGAAUUUUGGACAAUGGGCGCAAGCCUGAUCCAGCAAUGCCGCGUGCAGGAAGAAGGCCUUCGGGUUGUAAACUGCUUUUGUACGGAACGAAACGGCUCUGGUUAAUACCCGGGGCUAAUGACGGUACCGUAAGAAUAAGCACCGGCUAACUACGUG
rnacentral:rRNA from 1 species